rnacentral:rRNA from 1 species
GACGUAGGGCGCAAGCGUUGUCCGGAUUUAUUGGGCGUAAAGAGCUCGUAGGCGGCUCGUUGCGUCGGCUGUGAAAACCCGCAGCUCAACUGUGGGCCUGCAGCCGAUACGGGCAGGCUAGAGUUCGGUAGGGGAGACUGGAAUUCCUGGUGUAGCGGUGAAAUGCGCAGAUAUCAGGAGGAACACCGGUGGCGAAGGCGGCUCUCUGGGGCCUUACCUGACGCUGAGGAGCGAAAGCGUGGGUAGCGAACAGG